rnacentral:tRNA from 1 species
GCUGAUAUAGCUCAGUCGGUAGAGCGCAUCCUUGGUAAGGAUGAGGUCAGCGGUUCAAAUCCGCUUAUCAGCUCCA